GCAUAUCAAUAAGCGGAGGAAAAGAAACUAACAAGGAUUCCCCUAGUAACUGCGAGUGAAGCGGGAAAAGCUCAAAUUUAAAAUCUGGCGGUCUUUGGCCGUCCGAGUUGUAGUCUGGAGAAGUGCUUUCCGCGCUGGACCGUGUAUAAGUCUCUUGGAACAGAGCGUCAUAGAGGGUGAGAAUCCCGUCUUUGACACGGACUACCAGUGCUUUGUGAUGCGCUCUCAAAGAGUCGAGUUGUUUGGGAAUGCAGCUCAAAAUGGGUGGUGAAUUCCAUCUAAAGCUAAAUAUUGGCGAGAGACCGAUAGCGAACAAGUACCGUGAGGGAAAGAUGAAAAGCACUUUGGAAAGAGAGUUAAACAGUACGUGAAAUUGCUGAAAGGGAAACGCUUGAAGUCAGUCGCGUUGUCCGGAACUCAGCCUUGCUUUUGCUUGGUGCACUUUCCGGAUGACGGGUCAGCAUCGAUUUUGACCGUCGGAAAAGGGCUGGAGUAAUGUGGCACCUCCGGGUGUGUUAUAGACUCUGGUCGCAUACGACGGUUGGGAUCGAGGAACGCAGCGCGCCGCAAGGCAGGGGUUCGCCCACUUUCGCGCUUAGGAUGCUGGCAUAAUGGCUUUAAACGACCCGUCUUGAAACACGGACCAAGGAGUCUAACAUACCUGCGAGUGUUUGGGUGGAAAACCCGAGCGCGUAAUGAAAGUGAAAGUUGAGAUCCCUGUCGUGGGGAGCACCGACGCCCGGACCUGACGUUCUCUGACGGAUCCGCGGUAGAGCAUGUAUGUUGGGACCCGAAAGAUGGUGAACUAUGCCUGAAUAGGGUGAAGCCAGAGGAAACUCUGGUGGAGGCUCGUAGCGAUUCUGACGUGCAAAUCGAUCGUCAAAUUUGGGUAUAGGGGCGAAAGACUAAUCGAACCAUCUAGUAGCUGGUUCCUGCCGA
rnacentral:rRNA from 1 species